rnacentral:rRNA from 1 species
ACUCCUACGGGAGGCAGCAGUAGGGAAUCUUCCGCGAUGGACGCAAGUCUGACGGAGCAACGCCGCGUGAGUGAGGAAGGUCUUCGGAUCGUAAAGCACUGUUGCCCUAGAAGAAAGUCUUGGAGAGUAACUGCUCCAAGGUUGACGGUAUAGGAGAAGAAAGCCCCGGCUAACUACGUGCCAGCAGCCGCGGUAAU